rnacentral:rRNA from 1 species
GUUUGAUCCUGGCUCAGGACGAACGCUGGCGGCGGGCUUAACACAUGCAAGUCGAAGGAGAAGGUGGUUGCUUGCAACCGCUGGAGACUGGCGAACGGGUGAGUAACGCGUGGGGAUCUGCCCUAGAGUGGGGAACAACCUUUGGAAACGAAGGCUAAUACCGCAUACGCCCUUUUGGGGAAAGGCUUCGGCCGCUCUUGGAUGAUCCCGCGUCUGAUUAGCUUGUUGGUGGGGUAACGGCCUACCAAGGCGACGAUCAGUAGCUGGUCUGAGAGGAUGAUCAGCCACACUGGAACUGAGACACGGUCCAGACUCCUACGGGAGGCAGCAGUGGGGAAUCUUGGACAAUGGGCGAAAGCCUGAUCCAGCCAUUCCGCGUGGAUGACGAAGGCCUUAGGGUUGUAAAAUCCUUUCAGCAGGGAAGAUAAUGACGGUACCUGCAGAAGAAGCCCCGGCUAACUCCGUGCCAGCAGCCGCGGUAAUAC